GUGCUCACUUCGGCAGCACAUCUACUAACAUGGGAACGAUGCAGAGAAGACUGGCAUGCCCUGUGCAAUGAUGACACGCACAUUCGUGAAGUGUUCCAUAUUUAA